CACCCAAAACCCAUAAUCACUAAAAAAUUAUAUAUAUAAUUUGCAGUUCCCAAAGUAUAUCAGCAUCUUCUUGCCUUCUUCUCUCUUCCCCUCAGCUCACUCCUCCACCCCACCCAACCACUCAAAUCUCUUGAAUGUCACAGAUCUAUCUAUUGUUUGAUAAUGUAUCCUGUUGUAUUGUAUAGCUGACUCAUGUAAAAGUAAAACAUCAUUUUCUUGAAUUUACUUUCAUUUCCCAAUAUGAACAAGAAUCUUACUCGCUUAAUUUCUUCUAGAUCUUUACACAUCAUUUGCACUUUCAAUCUUUAGCAUUUUCCCACCUUAAAAAUCUUGUCUUUCCUCGUAUUUUUAUUUGUUUGCUGCAUCAUUCUUGAUUAUGCUGUAUGAGUAUAAUGAAGCGGACAAUGCGGCCAUUGUUCAGCGUGCUACUUCUUAUUGCAGUGGCAGCUACACUUGCUGUUCGAAUUAGCCUUCGUUAUAGCUCCAUUGAGCUGAAAAAUGAUUACUCUUUUACUGGUAAAGCUCAAAAACCAGUACUGAAUGAGACACUUUUGAAGUAUGCAGCUAUUGAUAUAGGGGAACCCCAGUUGAGAAAAGGGGUUGAGGAGUUAUUGGAAGGGAAUUUCAGAGGGCAUAAUCGUCAUAGAUCAUUCUUGUCUUCUGGUAAAUAUCGUAUAGAUAUAAGGCCUAGGACAGCUAGAGGGAUACCGGUGCAGCUCCGGUCGCCGGAGUUUUAUCGUGUUUGGCAGAGUUUUAGGAGGCAUUUGCAAGAUUGGCUUAGAAUUAGGAGGGUUUAUAAGGAUGAUGUGAUGGAGGAUUUGGUGAAAACAGUUAAUGGUAAAAUGGGGUUAGAGAAGAGAUAUGAAUCUUGUGCUGUUGUAGGGAACAGUGGGAUUUUGUUAGAGAGUGUUUAUGGAGAGUUAAUUGAUAGUCAUGAAGCUGUAAUUCGAUUGAACAAUGCGAAAACUGGAGGGUUUGAACAUAGAGUAGGUUCAAAGACUACUAUUUCAUUUGUGAAUAGUAAUAUUUUGCAUCUUUGUGCAAGGAGAGAAGGUUGUUUUUGUCAUCCAUAUGGAGUUAAUGUGGCUUUAGUAAUGUAUAUAUGUCAGCCUGUGCAUUUCUUGGAUUACAUGGUGUGUAAUUCUUCACAUAAAGCGCCAUUAGUUGUCACUGAUCCGCGCUUUGACAUGUUGUGUGCUAAGAUUGUGAAGUAUUAUUCGUCGAAACGAUUUGUGGAGGAAACUGGGAAGCCUCUUCAAGAAUGGGCUCCUGCUCAUGAUGGAGCUAAUUUUCAUUACUCUUCUGGUUUUCAAGCUGUGAUGCUUGCUUUAGGUGUUUGCGAGAAAGUUAGCAUUUUUGGGUUCGGGAAAUCUGCUUCAGCUAAGCAUCAUUAUCAUACGAAUCAGAGGGCUGAGCUGAAGUUGCAUGACUAUGAUUCAGAGUAUGAUUUCUACCGCGAUUUGGUGGAGAGACCGCAGAGUGAAGUAUGAAGGCCUAGUACGACCAAUGGAUUGAUAAUUUAUGUAGUCAGAACUGGAAUCUACCAAUAGCACGUCUUUUAGAUCCAUGUGCUGCAAAGCUCCCAUAGAGACAAGGGAAAGAUUGAGCAAUCAUUGAUUAAAGCAUUCAUGGAGACUAACCAUAUAUUGCUGGAUUUUUCUUGAGAAGGUCACAGGCAGGCAAGGGUAUUAACUGGAGCUGGCAUAGUUCUCAUGCACAAGGAAAGAAGAUGAUUGUAUAGCAGCUGAAGCAUACGCGGAAAAAUCAUUUGGUUAAAGUUAGUUAGGACUUGUGCCAGCUCAGAUUAGUUUUUGUAAGUUUACAUAGAUGAGUUGAGAGCUUGCAACUUUACCUUUGGUAGUUAGAAGCACUUUAGCACAGUAUAUACAUGAUGCUUAUUUUGCACAAGAUGUGAGGAGAAUGAAGAAAGCCAUUACUCAA